rnacentral:rRNA from 1 species
UACAGAGGUCCCAAGCGUUGUUCGGAUUCAUUGGGCGUAAAGGGCUCGUAGGCGGUUUGUCGCGUCGGGAGUGAAAACACACAGCUUAACUGUGUGCUUGCUUCCGAUACGGGCAGACUAGAGGUAUGCAGGGGAGAACGGAAUUCCUGGUGUAGCGGUGAAAUGCGCAGAUAUCAGGAGGAACACCGGUGGCGAAGGCGGUUCUCUGGGCCGAUACUGACGCUGAGGAGCGAAAGCGUGGGGAGCGAACAGG